UCCAGACUCCUACGGGAGGCAGCAGUGAGGAAUAUUGGUCAAUGGCCGGAAGGCUGAACCAGCCAAGCCGCGUGAGGGAGGAAGGCGCAGAGCGUCGCAGACCUCUUUUGCCGGGGGACAAAAGGCCGGACUCGUCCGGUCCUGAGGGUACCCGGAGAAAAAGCAUCGGCUAACUCCGUGCCAGCAGCCGCGGUAAUACGGAGGAUGCGAGCGUUAUCCGGAUUUAUUGGGUUUAAAGGGUGCGUAGGCGGAGUGUCAAGUCAGCGGUAAAAUUUCGGGGCUCGACCCCGUCGUGCCGUUGAAACUGACGCCCUUGAGUGAGUGAGAAGUAAGCGGAAUGCGUGGUGUAGCGGUGAAAUGCAUAGAUAUCACGCAGAACUCCGAUUGCGAAGGCAGCGUACCGGCGCCCAACUGACGCUGAAGCACGAAGGCGUGGGUAUCGAACAGGAUUAGAUACCCCUGUAA
rnacentral:rRNA from 1 species